rnacentral:rRNA from 1 species
GACGAACGCUGGCGGCGUGCCUAACACAUGCGAGUCGAACGGAACUGUUUUGAAAGAUUUCUUCGGAAUGAAUUUGAUUUAGUUUAGUGGCGGACGGGUGAGUAACGCGUGAGUAACCUGCCUUCAAGAGGGGAAUAACAUUCUGAAAAGAAUGCUAAUACCGCAUGACAUAUCGGAACCACAUGGUUUUGAUAUCAAAGAUUUUAUCGCUUGAAGAUGGACUCGCGUCCGAUUAGUUAGUUGGUGAGGUAACGGCUCACCAAGACCGCGAUCGGUAGCCGGACUGAGAGGUUGAACGGCCACAUUGGGACUGAGACACGGCCCAGACUCCUACGGGAGGCAGCAGUGGGGGAUAUUGCGCAAUGGGGGCAACCCUGACGCAGCAACGCCGCGUGAAGGAUGAAGGUUUUCGGAUUGUAAACUUCUUUUAUUAAGGACGAAAAAUGACGGUACUUAAUGAAUAAGCUCCGGCUAACUACGUG